rnacentral:rRNA from 1 species
GUCAGAACGAACGCUGGCGGCAGGCUUAACACAUGCAAGUCGAGCGCCGUAGCAAUACGGAGCGGCGGACGGGUGCGUAACGCGUGGGAACAUGCCCUUUGGUUCGGAAUAACUCAGGGAAACUUGAGCUAAUACCGGAUAAGCCCCGAGAGGGGGAAAGAUUCAUCGCCGAAGGAUUGGCCCGCGUCCGAUUAGCUAGUUGGUGAGGUAACGGCUCACCAAGGCGACGAUCGGUAGCUGGUCUGAGAGGAUGAUCAGCCACACUGGGACUGAGACACGGCCCAGACUCCUACGGGAGGCAGCAGUGGGGAAUAUUGGACAAUGGGCGCAAGCCUGAUCCAAGCCAUGCCGCGUGAGUGAUGAAGGCCUUAGGGUUGUAAAGCUCUUUCGCCAGGGACGAUAAUGACGGUACCUGGAGAAGAAGCCCCGGCCAACUUCGUGCCAGCAGCCGC